GCGGCAAGAGCAGUGAAGCACCCGUCGUCACGCUGGUUCCCUAGUGCAGACUUGGAAUAUGCUGGAGAAUAUUCAGAGGAGCAUGGGUGCUUGCUCUGACAUGAGUCUCAGAGGUGCAGACACGCACCUGCAACGUCCUAACUUUCCUUAGAAGCAAUUUGGAACUAUCAACCACAAUAUAUUUAUCCAAAGUCCCUAUAAACUAAGACUUUCUGGCAUCCUUUAUCUUGAAGUUGAACCAACUGAAAACACCCUUUGACUCCUCUUCUGCCUGUCCUACUGAUGUCUAUCACCUUCUCCUGCCUGAUCCCAGCCCCACCAGAAGGUCAUAAGCGAAGUGGCCUUCUCAGAAUGCAGCUGCUGAAGGUUCAGCCACACAGAAUCCAUCCAGGAGCCUCAAGCAGCCAGACCUCAAGCCUCUUGGGAAAAACAUCUCUUUCAAAAUAAAGGCACGAGAAUCACGUUCUGUCAGCGCAGUCGCCACUGUCUGGACCGCUGCACAAAAGCAGACACGAGUGGAGUGAGGCCCGCGGCGGAGCCCUCCCUGCCUCCUGGCGGCGUGGGCUCAGGCCAGGGCCAGGGCGCACCAGGAAUCCGGUCGCACGGAGGACGUGACUUCGGCCGGCGAGGCGAGACUGACGCCUAUGUAGAGCCCAUCUUGACCCGAAUACUUGAGCUCGCUGUUCUCGGGAUUGGUGCUCUCUCCCGCACCAGUCAUCACCGGGGCACCCGCCUGGCAGAAGAGGGGGACACAGAGGAGAGACGAGAAG
ensembl:lncRNA novel transcript, antisense to GATA6